UCAAAAGCUAUCGGCCUUUCUCUCUCAAACUCUCAUUUUCCCCAAAUCAAAACCCUAAAUUGGAAGAGAAAAUCGGCGGCUCCACUCUCUUCUUCCUCACGUUUCCUCGCCGGACUCCGCCGGAGUAUACUCCCUCCUCCCCUGAUUCUCUCUCUCCUCUCACCGCUGAAACCAUGGAAAGGGUUCUCGGUUUCUCCGUCGUCUCACCGCCCGUCCCUUCACGGCGAUUCAGCACCGUCGCGGCGUCUCCGGCUGGGGCAGAUGCAGCUCGGUCCACUUCGCAGACCACCGCCGCCGCUGUUGCCCUCGUGGCCUCGCCGUCGUCGGCGGUCUCCGAGGCAGCUCCUCGCCAAAUUUCCGCUCUCGGCGAGCACCACUGCCGCCGCUCCUUUCCUCGCGACGGAGAGUCAUCGCCGGUUGUUCCCCGGCGUUCAGCAGCGCCGCGCGCUUGCGGUUCAGCCCGCCACUAUGGGGUUCUCAGCCUAUCGGCGAGCCCUCCGUCGACAUCGCGCCACCGACGGACAACCUCUCUCUAAGCUAAGUUUUCUGUCUUCUAUUACUUAGCUUGUUUCGCGGGUUUUAUUUGGCAAAGCUAUGUAGAAUCGAUUCAUGACUAUUGGUGAUGUUCAAGCUUUGAUCUUGUGAGAGUUCGAUUAUUGUGUCCAUUUAAUUGGUUUGUAGCAGAAGCUUUAUGUUGUGAUUCUUGGCAGAAAAAUUAGCUAAACUGGAAUGAAUCUUUACAUAGAUAUGCUACACUAUUCCCUCCUGACUGUAAUAGUUUGGCUAAGGCAUUGGCUCAUAAAGAUCAUAUCUUUGGCUAUUGAUGUUAUUUCUAUGACUUCCUAAGUGAUCAUGCUUCUAGAUUCUAAGUUCUGGAAAUUACUCUUGUGACUGUUCUAUAUGAUGCAAAGGGUAUGGUGGUGUUUACAUGGAUGAAAAGGAGUGACAUGGAGGGUGUUGAUGAUUUACCUGUUGUGGUGAAAGGGACCAAAAGGAGGGAUGGAGUGCUCCUGAUCUUAGCUCGCUCACUGCCCUCUUUUCCCAGAAUUUCACUCUCUAAUUUUCUCAAAGAAAUUUGCUGGAUUUGUUGUGUGUGUGAAGGAGUUCAUAGGCGGUGUGGAGGGUCUUUAAAUAGACAGAGUGUGUACUCGUGAGACCUUAAUUGAAGCUGUUGUAUUGCCUUGUUUUCUUCUUGCAGCAAAUCUCUCUUUUUUUUAUUCCUUGCCACUUUUAGUUAAGAAACUUUGGUUUUAUGCCUGCAUCCAAGUAUUCCCAAAUUAAUGAUCUCUGUUUGGUUUCGUAGUGGUACAAGGUGGAGUUGCAGAGGCCCCUGGAAAAAGGGUGGAAGGCAGACAUUGGCUUACCCUUUUGGGUAAGUCUUGGUCCUCUAGCAAAAAAAAAGAGAGAAUCUGCAAGUCCUCGGCUGUCAAGCUGCUGUCCGAGACGGCUCGCUGCCUCGGGCCUUCGUGCUCGCUGCCUGGCUCGACGGCUGUGCGGAUAGGGGCGCGGUGGAGUGCGACGUGGGCUCGGGAGAAGAAGCACAGAGUGCAAGCCAUAUUAGACUUUAUUUCCUUAAGCUUUUGGUCCAUUCAAGAGUAUAUGUAGUAGUGUAGUAUCCCGUAUUUUCUUCAAAGAAAAAAUUUUCCAUA